rnacentral:lncRNA from 1 species
CAUCACGGUACUCUUACUGGCAAUAAGACAAAAAUGAAAAUUUGUUUUGAUUCCUCUCGCGCCUCCAACGGUCCACUACAAAAAAGAAAAUAAAAGUGGAAAAGAAAGGGCUUUAUUUUCUCUCUUGGGGGGGACACCGACGAUAUCCUUCACACAUCACACCUUCGUCAUCUCUUUCGCACCAACGCCGCUGCCAAACACUCGAUAUCUCCACCAACUCGCCGCCACGACCCAAACACACUUCCGUUUCCUCACACUCUCAACCUUCACGAACACAGCCACUAAAAUAGCUACCUCCAGUUCCAACGACAUCCCGUGUGUUUCCGACCACCACCUUGUUUGAAUCUGACAAAGUACAACAACAAUAGUUUUUGGCCAGUAGCAAUAAUAACGAAGAUCAACUUAGUACUGACAACACCGUGGUGACAAGGCGUCGGUUGAAUCGCUUCGCCGGAUUCGUUCUUGCGAGCCAAAGAGUCGAUUCGAUGAAAAUAACACUACUAUGACGUUGUUGUGUUUGAUUUGCAUUAAUUGUUCGACAUCGCGAACACAUACGAUCCAUUUCCAUCGUGUACUUUGGUUUUCAUUUGUUGUGUUUUGUUUUGCAAUCUGUUUACAGGUAUGACAUAAUGUUGUUUUUGGCUUUUACGAAUCAUUUCGGCUAGCUGAAUGGUUAAUUUCAUCUUCCAUGCUAUGUACGAGAUUAAAAUUUUGUGGAUGCGCCGAUGCGAUAAGUGUUUAAGCACUACGUUAUUGUUGGUAUUAACUCUUGUUAAUGAUUCGACGCUACAGUAAUAUUUUGGACGAGAUUUCGGUUGCAUUACGUUUGUGCUGCUUUGUUACAAGCCUUUCUUGUAUUUCGAUUUGUUUUCAUUAUCAUUGCAUCAGUGUUAUAUUCAUAUUUUAUAGUGAUUAACCUAAAUGAUGUUGUUUGUGGUAACUCUAGGAGAAAGGUGUUUGCUGUCAUUUUAAAAUGUGUUUUACUUCAGUUUCCUGCUGCUAUCACUUUUAAUUAGUAAUGGUUAUUUAUUUUCCUUCAUUUUAAUCAUUGUUUUAUUAAUUCAUAUCAUGUGAGUGUCUUUAUGUUUGUUAUUAGCAUAUUAGGUAUAGUGAAUGGGAAUGAGAGACACAGAGUUAUACCAUUUAUACUAUUAUCGUUCUAAUUUUUCUAAACGUUUUUAUUUGACCUCAGUUGGUUUUUAUUUUAUAUAGUCUUGCUUAGGAUUGUUCUGAGAAUUUUACAUUGUUACAAAGCAAGAAUAGCCUACAUAAUUUACUAGAUCGACGAGAACCGAAAAUUAGUACGUGGUAUAGCUAGUAUAGGAAGAAAUACUUUCUAAUUUUAAAAGUUAUUUACUCAUUAAGUAACAAAUUAUAUUUAAAUAAUUACCUAAAUAAUUUAAUUAUUAUAAAUGACAUUUUGUAAAUAAC